rnacentral:piRNA from 1 species
UGAUAGUGGAACUAAAAUCGGGGGCA